CCGCUUACUUGAAUUCCAUUUGUACUACAAGAUCAAACUCUAUAGUGGAAGAAAAGUUUGAUUUUAUUGCUGCUACAGUUGCUGCCCAUGAGAUUGGACAUGCUUUAGGAGCAGUUCAUGACGGCGAAAACAACAGGUGUUCAGCUUCAAGUGGUUUCAUCAUGGUUUCGAUCAGCCAGGCUUUGAGACCACCCAAUCAAAAAAGUCCAUAUGAAUUUUCUUCCUGUACUUCCAAGGAAAUUGGUUUAUAUCUAGACGAAUUAAAUAAAAAGGGUUCGCAUUGUAUGCAACGGACACAUCCUAAUGCUAAAAAUUACAAUCCUGGAUCACAAAAAAAGCUAGGUCAGACAUUCGACGUUGAUAAACAGUGUGAAUUCAUCAUAGGGAAAGGCUCUUAUGCA